AGUGAACGCUGGCGGUAGGCCUAACGCAUGCAAGUCGAACGGCAGCACAGUAAGAGCUUGCUCUUACGGGUGGCGAGUGGCGGACGGGUGAGGAAUACAUCGGAAUCUACUUUUUCGUGGGGGAUAACGUAGGGAAACUUACGCUAAUACCGCAUACGACCUACGGGUGAAAGCAGGGGAUCUUCGGACCUUGCGCGAUUGAAUGAGCCGCUGUCGGAUUAGCUAGUUGGCGGGGUAAAGGCCCACCAAGGCGCGGAUCCGUAGCUGGUCUGAGAGGAUGAUCAGCCACACUGGAACUGAGACACGGUCCAGACUCCUACGGGAGGCAGCAGUGUGGAAUAUUGGACAAUGGGCGCAAGCCUGAUCCAGCCAUACCGCGUGGGUGAAGAAGGCCUUCGGGUUGUAAAGCCCUUUUGUUGGGAAAGAAAAGCAGCAGGUUAAUACCCCGCUGUUCUGACGGUACCCAAAGAAUAAGCACCGGCUAACUUCGUG
rnacentral:rRNA from 1 species